AACGAACGCUGGCGGCAUGCCUAACACAUGCAAGUCGAACGAGACCUUCGGGUCUAGUGGCGCAUGGGUGCGUAACGCGUGGGAACCUGCCCUUAGGUUCGGAAUAACUCCCCGAAAGGGGUGCUAAUACCGGAUAAUGUCUUCGGACCAAAGAUUUAUCGCCUUUGGAUGGGCCCGCGUUGGAUUAGCUAGUUGGUAGGGUAAAAGCCUACCAAGGCGACGAUCCAUAGCUGGUCUGAGAGGAUGAUCAGCCACACUGGGACUGAGACACGGCCCAGACUCCUACGGGAGGCAGCAGUGGGGAAUAUUGGACAAUGGGCGAAAGCCUGAUCCAGCAAUGCCGCGUGAGUGAUGAAGGCCUUAGGGUUGUAAAGCUCUUUUACCCGGGAUGAUAAUGACAGUACCGGGAGAAUAAGCCCCGGCUAACUCCGUG
rnacentral:rRNA from 1 species